rnacentral:tRNA from 1 species
GAGGGUAUAGCUCAGUGGUAGAGUGUAUGCUUAGCAUGCAGGAGGUCUUGGGUUCAAGCCUCAGUACUCUCA